GCAGUUGCCUGGUCAGUGGAUCCCAUGUGCAGAGGGCGAGACGGGGCCCUGGCCAGGCGUUGGGAGGCGGGAGGCUCGGCCGGCGCUCCGGUUUUGAAGCAGUUGCUCCAAAUCAAUCCCUGGCCUAGAAGCUGGAGACACAGAGAAGAGGGACCUGGCUCUACCUUCAAAGACCUGGCUUGAGUCAAAGGUGACUCAGUCUCUCGGAGGUGAUGCAAAUAAACCAGGUGGUCUUGGAUUUUUUUAAGACACUGUGCGGAUGGUUCCCAGAAAG